rnacentral:rRNA from 1 species
GGUUUUUGGAUCAUGGCUCAGAUCNGAACGCUGUGCGGCAGGCCUCACACAUGCAAGUCGAGCGGAUGACGGGAGCUUGCUCCUUGAUUCAGCGGCGGACGGGUGAGUAAUGCCUAGGAAUCUGCCUGGUAGUGGGGGACAACGUUUCGAAAGGAACGCUAAUACCGCAUACGUCCUACGGGAGAAAGCAGGGGACCUUCGGGCCUUGCGCUAUCAGAAUGAGCCUAGGGUCGGAUUAGCUAGUUGGUGGGGUAAUGGCUCACCAAGGCGACGAUCCGUAACUGGUCUGAGAGGAUGAUCAGUCACACUGGAACUGAGACACGGUCCAGACUCCUACGGGAGGCAGCAGUGGGGAAUAUUGGACAAUGGGCGAAAGCCUGAUCCAGCCAUGCCGCGUGUGUGAAGAAGGUCUUCGGAUUGUAAAGC